rnacentral:tRNA from 1 species
GCCGAGGUGGCACAGCCCGGAACUGCGCGAGACUGGAAAUCUCGUGGGGAUUUUCCCCACAGGAGUUCAAAUCUCCUCCUCGGCG